AUCGUUAUGCGCCUUCGUAUGUUUCUCCUGCUUAUCACCUUCUUGAAGGCUUCCCAUUCAUUCAGGAACCGCCUUCUGGUGAUUUGCAAGAACGCGUACUUAUUCGCCACCAUGAUUAUGACCAGUGUUUCCAGUCCGUUCAGUUGUUGCAGUGGAAUAAGAUCGGAAGAGCGGUUCAGCAGGAAUGCCGAGACC
rnacentral:rRNA from 1 species